rnacentral:lncRNA from 1 species
UGCCUCCUUGAAAUUGAUCAACCCGAGGCUGAUACAUGUGAUUCAGUGGUGGCUCUGGUGGAGGAGUCCGGUUGCGCUCUCUCUCUUCGUCUAGCUGCCUCUGAAGGUUUGUCACGACUUGCACAAGAGUUUGAAGGUCCAUGUUAUUCUCUGCCAUUGCUUGCUUUUUCUUUUCGCGGUUGUCUCUUUUGUACUGUUUUUCGAUUUCCAAGUUCAAAGGUACUAGAUGUUCCUUUCCUUUGGAUCUCGUGAUCAUGCACGCCUGAGACAACAAACAAAAACAGAAAUUUAAAAACUAAAAAAAAAUAAAAUUAAAACUUAUAACGCCUGAAAUAAUGCUUAAGUCUAAUCAGAAAUAUUAAAGUUAAUUCUAAAUAGUCCCCGGCAACGGCGCCAAAAAGUUGAUCACUAUUUUUAUAGCAACAAAUAACUGCAACUAAACAGUGUAAUUGUAGUACGCAAAUAGCAAGC